GAUGAACGCUGGCGGCGUGCCUAAUACAUGCAAGUCGAGCGAACAGACGAGGAGCUUGCUCCUCUGACGUUAGCGGCGGACGGGUGAGUAACACGUGGAUAACCUACCUAUAAGACUGGGAUAACUUCGGGAAACCGGAGCUAAUACCGGAUAAUAUAUUGAACCGCAUGGUUCAAUAGUGAAAGACGGUUUUGCUGUCACUUAUAGAUGGAUCCGCGCCGCAUUAGCUAGUUGGUAAGGUAACGGCUUACCAAGGCAACGAUGCGUAGCCGACCUGAGAGGGUGAUCGACGACACUGGAAAUGAGACACGGUCCAGACUCCUACGGGAGGCAGCAGUAGGGAAUCUUCCGCAAUGGGCGAAAGCCUGACGGAGCAACGCCGCGUGAGUGAUGAAGGUCUUCGGAUCGUAAAACUCUGUUAUUAGGGAAGAACAAAUGUGUAAGUAACUAUGCACGUCUUGACGGUACCUAAUCAGAAAGCCACGGCUAACUACGUG
rnacentral:rRNA from 1 species